rnacentral:rRNA from 1 species
AUUGAACGCUGGCGGCAGGCCUAACACAUGCAAGUCGAGCGAGUGGCGGACGGGUGAGUAAUGUAUGGGGACUGCCCGAUAGAGGGGGAUAACUACUGGAAACGGUGGCUAAUUCCGCAUACUAUCGGAUAACCCAUAUGGGAUUAGCUAGUAGGGGGGUUAAAGGCUCACCUAGGCGACGUUCUCUAGCUGGUCUGAGAGGAUGAUCAGCCACACGGGGCCUGGGAAACGGCCCAGACUCCUACGGAGGCAGCAGUGGGGAAUAUUGCACAAUGGGCGCAAGCCUGAUGCAGCCAUGCCGCGUGUAUGAAGAGGGCCUUAGGGUUGUAAAGUACGUUCAGCGGGGAGGCGUUACCCGCAGAAGAAGCACCGGCUAACUCCGUGCCAGCAGCCGCGGUAAUUC